AACGAACGCUGGCGGCAGGCUUAACACAUGCAAGUCGAACGGAUCCUUCGGGAUUAGUGGCAGACGGGUGAGUAACGCGUGGGAACGUACCCUUUGCUACGGAAUAACUCAGGGAAACUUGAGCUAAUACCGUAUGUGCCCUACGGGGGAAAGAUUUAUCGGCAAAGGAUCGGCCCGCGUUGGAUCAGCUAGUUGGUGGGGUAAUGGCCUACCAAGGCGACGAUCCAUAGCUGGUCUGAGAGGAUGAUCAGCCACACUGGGACUGAGACACGGCCCAGACUCCUACGGGAGGCAGCAGUGGGGAAUAUUGGACAAUGGGCGCAAGCCUGAUCCAGCCAUGCCGCGUGAGUGAUGAAGGUCUUAGGAUUGUAAAGCUCUUUCACCGGUGAAGAUAAUGACGGUAGCCGGAGAAGAAGCCCCGGCUAACUUCGUG
rnacentral:rRNA from 1 species